rnacentral:rRNA from 1 species
UAGGGAAUCUUCAGCAAUGGGGGGAACCCUGACCGAGCAACGCCGCGUGAGUGAAGAAGGUUUUCGGAUCGUAAAGCUCUGUUGUUAAGGAAGAACGAGUGUGAGAAUGGAAAGUUCAUACUGUGACGGUACUUAACCAGAAAGGGACGGCUAACUACGUGCCAGCAGCCGCGGUAAUACGUAGGUCCCGAGCGUUGUCCGGAUUUAUUGGGCGUAAAGCGAGCGCAGGCGGUUAGAUAAGUCUGAAGUUAAAGGCAGUGGCUCAACCAUUGUAGGCUUUGGAAACUGUUUAACUUGAGUGCAGAAGGGGAGAGUGGAAUUCCAUGUGUAGCGGUGAAAUGCGUAGAUAUAUGGAGGAACACCGGUGGCGAAAGCGGCUCUCUGGUCUGUAACUGACGCUGAGGCUCGAAAGCGUGGGGAGCGAACAGG